ACUAAUAAACAUUCCUUCUUAACCAGAAAAAUGAUAGAAUUUUUUGACUUAAAAUCCUUGUAGGCCACAGAACGAUAUAUUCGUUCUAAAACUUCCGUAAGGAAAUGGUCAACUCCAAUUAGCUAUCACCUUUUUUCCUGUAUAAGAAAAGAACCAGCUCAAAAUGUUUACUCAACUAAAUCAUUGUAAUAGCAUGUUGAGAAUUUUGUUUUUAAUAAUAGCAAUGAUAUGAGCAAUGAAGCAUGAAUUAGGAGAUUUUUUUUUUUUUUUUUUUCAAAUUGUGAAUUAUAGGCAAGAAGACUGAGCUUUCAAAAGAAGGACCGAAAGCAAUAAAUUUUAACAAAGACAAAAAAGAUAUGUAUUAAAGGUCAAAUGAAGGAAAAACACAGUACAAGAGAUCGGAGCACAAAAUAUUCACCUACCAAGGAAUGCAAGGAAACACGAAAUGGAAAACAGUAAAUUCAACAGGCGUAAGAAAACAAACGAUGAUUAGGACAGAGAGAUGAGGAACAUUGAUAAACAACAAGAAAACACAUUUUUAGAAUGCCAAAAGAAAGAGAGCUCUCAGUCGUCCAAUGGCAUGCGAACUUUAGGAACAGCAGGAGCCGCAUUGACUUUUUGCUUUUGAUGGAUAUAGCGUAAAUAUUCCCUAAGACCAUAACCGAAGUUGGAAAUGCAAUAAAACCCUACGACUAUGGUUGUGAACAAAUAAAUUAUGGUGACUAUUGAAAACACCAACAUACAAAUAUUUGCAACAGCAAUAUCCCCAUAGUCGACGCCUAGGUAUAGCCUAGCACAGUUGUAAAUAAAAUAUGCAAGUCCACACAUAAACAUAAACUGUACAAUCCCUAACAAUGCACGAUUUUCUCUGUAAACAGCAUACCUACAGGUCAUCAAAGUUGCGAUUGUACAGGGGAAGACAAGAAUGGUUAGUGCUAGCCCAACACGACUUAUGGUAGAAAAGAAGAUAGCAUAUUGAACAGUAGCCGUUAGGCAAAAAUAAUAGUCCGACUUAAUUAAGGACAUGAAUAUUUUGUAUACGAGAUACCUUCUUCUCAUUCGAAGAUCAGGACCAUGCUGCUGAUACAUAAUCCAUCCAAAUGCUUUGUUCAUUUUGUAAACCAAGAAGCUCAGCAAGAUACAAGUAACGCCGAUUAGCACCGGAAGAGCGAUUACAAAUGGCUUCAGAUAAAAUAACAACAUAUGAGAAUUAACAACUAUUCUUUCGUGAUAGUUAAAUGAUGUGACGAGGCGAAUGGGAUCUAUUAAGUAUAAAGCGGAGAGGAAAAUCGCUCUGGGGUCUUUUGAAAAUAUUUGAAAAUAUUGGACAACAGAUAGGCAAAAAAGGCUUACAUGAAAGAUAAGAAGUGCUGACAUCUAAACGUAUAAUUCGGUUAGCUUGAAUUGGUUUAGAUCUCAAGUGCGUCAACCAUAUGAAUCGACAAAAGACAAACAAUGCCAUUUUAGCUUUUUUUGGAGACAAUUAACUUACCUGUAUUACAUCCUUGUUUAAUAAUGCAUCUACAGCCGUAUAAAGUAAAUAGGGACAUGCCAUACAAAACAGUGCAAAUGUAGACGGCACCAUAGCAUUUAUAAAGACAUCAAUUUUUUCGACUGUGAUUAAACGAAAAUGAUGAAAAACAUAUCCUUCAAAAGAUAAUGUAAUGGUAACCUCGACAAUAAUGAUCAGCAGAAACCAUUGUGAUGAUUUUUUAAGAGAUCGAAGGAAGUCUUCAGCAGGCUUGAAUGACAAGAACUUUUUCAUGAUUAAAAGAAAUUAUUAAUAACGCUUUCAUGAAAGUCUUAAUCUCUUCACAGCUUAGUCACUUAGGCUCAUCGAACGUUGAUUGUAGGUGUUGUUUACCGCUUUGGUAAGCGACGAAGUUCACUCUGACUUAACGAAUACGACUGUACACUAGCUCAAAUACAACUUUUCUGAA